CAGCAGGUGGCUGCCCGAACCCACACGGGGAGGCCCUGCCGCCAGCCGCGCGAGCGGAGGAGGGCACGGCGGGCCCAGCAGGGUGGGGGCAUGGGUAAGCUGGGCCAGGUCAGGGCACAACCAACACACAGCCAGGCAUGCAGCGCAAAGUUGCCUGUUUUCCUGCCCCAUCUCCUGCUUUACUGUGCUGAGCUGGGACAGCGUGUGUGAAGCAGCCCAAGCCCACAUCCUAGCUGCACCCAGGUUGUGGGCACCAGAGCGGUGGUCUGAGGAACAGAGGUCUGCCUCACAGCCCAUCUUCCAGCAAUUGACAGAGAUGAGCUUGAAGAAGGGUUACUCUCCAGGGAGCCUGUGGGCCAGCCUGCUACUCCAGUGAAGAUGGAGACCCCAGUUUGGCUCCUCUGAGCUGCUCCACCCUGUUAGCAGGGACAUCUGUGUAAUGACAACUCUCCCCACUGGAGCAAAGGUUGACUGGAGUCGGUGGAAGAGAGCAGAGUCUGGUACGAGACCACGCACGCCCAGAGGGUGGGAGGAGGAGUUCCCUGGUAACUAGUGCACAGAGGAUGAGCUGAAGGACUUGUAAGAUGGUUAGAUCCCUACCUCAUGCCACCCACGGAAACAGAGUCCAGGUGGAGGGAUGGCUUUACAGAGAGCAUGGGGACCUAACUGCAAAGAAAAAGAAACAUGAUAUUUUAAUAAAAAUGUGCUGGAGAAAUUUUUCUCAACAUGACGCCAAUAUCAGAAACCAUAAAGGUGUACAUAGUUCCUAAAUAGAUUAAAUUUCCCAGAGUGCUAAAGCUGCAAGAUGGCCAAGAAUGGAAAGACCAAGUCAAGAAGGACCAAGCCUUCCCUUGGUCACCUGUUGAAAAGGGACUGGUUAUCUUUUAAGGGGUACUGGGGAUGAAAUGCAGGGUCUUGCAAUGCUAGCCAAAUACUCUACCACUGAGAUAUUUACUGGUCUUUCAAAAAACAACCACCUUUUUACUUUUAGACAGUCUUAUUAGCUUGCCCAGGCUGUCUUUGAACUUUCCAUCUUCUUGCCUCAUCCACCUGUGCAGUUAGGAUGACAGGCCUGUGCCUCCAGGCCCAGAUGGGAUGUCUUAACUGUCUUUAUUUCUCAGGGGUGUGGGGAGUCCAGCACUGUGGAUCCCACACUUUGUUUGAGAUAAAUAACUGCUACUCAAGCGACGUAGAGGCUGUCACCUGCCUCGUGGCAGGGAGGGACAGGGUCUUUGAGUGUUCUCCGUGGCAGCAGCAAUCCCACAAAAUCCCAUGGACUUUGUGCUGAUAGCAGAGCACAGGUUAGUGCUGUUAGAGUCUUGGGUCUCUGGCAUCUUAAGUGCACAUUCAAUGUACAAAGACUAUGUGAGGAUAUGAAACGCCACACUGAGGCAGGGAGCUGAUUCUGCUGUGCCCAUUCAGUAAGCUCUGCCCCUUCCCAUAUCCUAGCUUCUCAAGAUCUCCACC
rnacentral:lncRNA from 1 species